rnacentral:lncRNA from 1 species
UAGGUUUAAUGCCAGGAGUUCCUUGCAUAUGUGGAGGGUAAAGGCUGCAUACUGUUAUGAGGAAAGUACCUUAACUUGUAGUGACUGCUUUAGGGAUUUCUUAUCUCCAUGCCCCUUGGAGACCUUAGUCAUCAAAUAAAUUCAAAAAGCUAGUCAUAUUCUUAAGAUAAUCCUAGCUAAGCUUUGCCUAGAGACCUCAGAAACAUGUCUUAAAUUCUUACCUGUUGCCCUCAGGAUCAAAGUGGCACCUAAGGCUGUUUAACUAAAAUGCUAUAUAAAGAGGUCUUCUUCACCUCUGAUACUCUCUUUGACUCAGGGAUACAGGAUCACAUAAAAGUUUAAUAUUAAUCUUUUUCCUAUACAAGAGGCUAAUGGACUGUGGUAAUAAAAUUCUCACAGUGCCAGGUCCCAAAAGUCAUGACAGCCUGUCCCCAGGAGACCAAGGCUUAAGAGACACUUGGAGUAAAGACUUCUUCCACUGAUCAAUUGCAGCCUAAAUGAAAGGAAUCCUACAAGGUGCUACUCAGCACUCCUACUGAAGGCAAUUCAGGGCAUCCCAAGCUGGGUACAUUUGUCAAGGAUCUCAAUUCUACCUCUUUAGUCUUCACAGGUGCACACAGAGAACAACAAGUCUGCUCACUCUUGUGAAUGCAUUGAAGAUCUCGAAUACAUCUUCAAAGGGCAAAAGGAAUUCAACAGCUUCUCAAAAUGAUGAUGAUCAUGCAGAGGCAACAGCCAUUGGCCGUGAUGAAAAUUCCCCAGCUCUUGAGGUGGAUUGAUUAGAUGAGAUAAGAAGAGGUAUCCGAACCCUGGAUAGGUAGGGACAAUGCCCCUGGCCAGCAGGAAGUAGCUACAGAAGACAGAUCAUCAUCCUUCAGCACCCCCUUAAGAUUAAGGGUCAGAAAUCUCUGCGGGGGGAUGAGAUUGGAUAAGGCAGGUAGCUAGGUUAGGGCCACAGAGCUGGAAGUCCCAAGUCACAAGCCCUCGCCCAAAUGUAAUU